CCUACGGGUGGCAGCAGUAGGGGAUAUUGCUCAAUGGGGGAAACCCUGAAGCAGCAACGCCGCGUGGAGGAUGAAGGUUUUCGGAUUGUAAACUCCUUUUGUUAGAGAAGAUAAUGACGGUAUCUAACGAAUAAGCACCGGCUAACUCCGUGCCAGCAGCCGCGGUAAUACGGAGGGUGCAAGCGUUACUCGGAAUCACUGGGCGUAAAGGGCGCGCAGGCGGGAUAGCAAGUCAGAUGUGAAAGCCUAGGGCUUAACCAUAGGACUGCAUUUGAAACUGUUAGUCUAGAGUAUGGGAGGGGCAGGUGGAAUUCCUGGUGUAGGGGUAAAAUGCGUAGAGAUCAGGAGGAAUACCGGUGGCGAAGGCGACCUGCUGGAACACAACUGACGCUGAGGCGCGAAAGCGUGGGGAGCAAACAGGAUUAGAUACCCGGGUAGUC
rnacentral:rRNA from 1 species